rnacentral:rRNA from 1 species
AUACGUAGGGGGCGAGCGUUGUCCGGAAUGAUUGGGCGUAAAGGGCGCGUAGGCGGCCUGUUAAGUCUGGAGUGAAAGUCCUGUUUUCAAGAUGGGAAUUGCUUUGGAUACUGAUGGGCUUGAGUGCAGGAGAGGUUAUCGGAAUUACCGGUGUAGCGGUGAAAUGCGUAGAGAUCGGGAGGAACACCAGUGGCGAAGGCGGGUAACUGGACUGCAACUGACGCUGAGGCGCGAAAGUGUGGGGAGCAAACAGGAUUAGAUACCCUGGUAGUCCACACUGUAAACGAUGAAUGCUAGGUGUAAGAGGUAUCGACCCCUUUUGUGCCGGAGUUAACACAAUAAGCAUUCCGCCUGGGGAGUACGGCCGCAAGGUUGAAACUCAAAGGAAUUGACGGGG